AUUGAACGCUGGCGGCAUGCUUUACACAUGCAAGUCGAACGGUAACAGGCCUUCGGGUGCUGACGAGUGGCGAACGGGUGAGUAAUGCAUCGGAACGUGCCCAGAGGUGGGGGAUAACGCAGCGAAAGCUGUGCUAAUACCGCAUGUGAUCUGAGGAUGAAAGCGGGGGACCAGGCAGCAAUGUUUGGCCUCGCGCCUUUGGAGCGGCCGAUGUCAGAUUAGGUAGUUGGUGGGGUAAAGGCCUACCAAGCCGACGAUCUGUAGCUGGUCUGAGAGGACGACCAGCCACACUGGGACUGAGACACGGCCCAGACUCCUACGGGAGGCAGCUGUGGGGAAUUUUGGACAAUGGGCGCAAGCCUGAUCCAGCAAUGCCGCGUGCGGGAAGAAGGCCUUCGGGUUGUAAACCGCUUUUGUACGGAACGAAAAGGCUCUGGCUAAUACCUGGGGCUGAUGACGGUACCGUAAGAAUAAGUACCGGCUAACUACGUG
rnacentral:rRNA from 1 species